rnacentral:rRNA from 1 species
AUUGAACGCUGGCGGCAUGCUUUACACAUGCAAGUCGAACGGUAACAGGCCUUCGGGUGCUGACGAGUGGCGAACGGGUGCGUAAUACAUCGGAACGUACCCAGAGGUGGGGGAUAACGCAGCGAAAGCUGUGCUAAUACCGCAUGUGAUCUGAGGAUGAAAGCGGGGGACCGAGCAGCAAUGUUUGGCCUCGCGCCUUUGGAGCGGCCGAUGUCGGAUUAGCUAGUUGGUGGGGUAAAGGCCUACCAAGGCGACGAUCCGUAGCUGGUCUGAGAGGACGACCAGCCACACUGGGACUGAGACACGGCCCAGACUCCUACGGGAGGCAGCAGUGGGGAAUUUUGGACAAUGGGCGCAAACCUGAUCCAGCAAUGCCGCGUGCGGGAAGAAGGCCUUCGGGUUGUAAACCGCUUUUGGCAGGAACGAAACGGUGUCCGCUAAUACCGGGCGCUAAUGACGGUACCUGCAGAAUAAGCACCGGCUAACUACGUG